AGGUGCUGGGUAGGCUUCCUCAGGCUAUGUUUCUCUGUGUGGAGUUGCUUCUUCCAGCUCACUGAGGAUGACCUGGAGCACUCGGCUGAACUGGAAGCUCAGGGGUGCAUAGCUGGUUGUAUGAUGGGGAGCAGCUGCAUUUUCUUCACACAUAUCUUGGAGAAAAGGGAUGUCUAAAGACUUGCUCAGCAAAUCUGAGACCCAAAAGACAGGAAAAGUGUGUGAUUUCCUUGCUUCUGAGAGGAGUGUUUGAUUGAGAGGAGGUAAUUACCUCAUCAACAUUCAACAAUCUGAAUGAGAGGUGGUGAAGUAAAUUAAUAUGCCCAAGACAGAAAACAACUUUGAGAAUACAACCAGGAGAAACAAGGCAGCCAGUCAUGUGGUGUGUAAUGCUUACGUGGCAGACUGGAAAACGAAGUAGACUGUCAAGGGAGAUGGAGAAAUCUCAAAUCUAAUACACUUUGUGCUACACGCUAUGGAAAUUGUCUGCUUUGUGCAAAAUGAAAUGGAUUGAAAUCAC